rnacentral:rRNA from 1 species
UACGGGGGGGGGCAAGCGUUGUUCGGAAUUACUGGGCGUAAAGGGCUUGUAGGCGGCCAACUAAGUCAGACGUGAAAUCCCUCGGCUUAACCGGGGAACUGCGUCUGAUACUGGAUGGCUUGAGAUUGGGAGAGGGAUGCGGAAUUCCAGGUGUAGCGGUGAAAUGCGUAGAUAUUGGGAGGAACACCGGUGGCGAAGGCGGCAUCCUGGACCAUUACUGACGCUGAGGCGCGAAAGCUAGGGGAGCAAACGGG